rfam:Penicillium solitum strain IBT 29525 PENSOL_contig012, whole genome shotgun sequence.
UGAGGCCUCCGACGUGACACAACAUCCUGCAGCGGUGUUGUGUGACCUGCAGUGUCCGUCGCUGGCCUCG